UACGGGGGGAGCAAGCGUUGUUCGGAUUUACUGGGCGUAAAGGGCGCGUAGGCGGCGCGACAAGUCACUUGUGAAAUCUCUGGGCUCAACCCAGAACGGUCAAGUGAUACUGUCGUGCUAGAGUGCGGAAGGGGCAACUGGAAUUCUUGGUGUAGCGGUGAAAUGCGUAGAUAUCAAGAGGAACACCUGCGGCGAAGGCGGGUUGCUGGGCCGACACUGACGCUGAGACGCGAAAGCGUGGGGAGCAAACAGG
rnacentral:rRNA from 1 species